UACGGAGGAUGCGAGCGUUAUCCGGAUUUAUUGGGUUUAAAGGGUGCGUAGGCGGACUGUCAAGUCAGCGGUAAAAUUGAGAGGCUCAACCUCUUCCCGCCGUUGAAACUGCCGGGCUAGAGUGGGCGAGAAGUGCGCGGAAUGCGUGGUGUAGCGGUGAAAUGCAUAGAUAUCACGCAGAACUCCGAUUGCGAAGGCAGCGCACCGGCGCCCUACUGACGCUCAGGCACGAAAGCGUGGGUAUCGAACAGG
rnacentral:rRNA from 1 species